AUUGAACGCUGGCGGCAGGCCUAACACAUGCAAGUCGAACGAGUGGCGGACGGGUGAGUAAUGUCUGAGCACGUGCGCGAUGGAGGGGGAUAACGACUAGAACAGGUAGCAAAUACCGCAAACGAUCGGUUGUGCCCACAUGGGAUGAGCUAGUAGGUGGGGUAACGGCUCACCUAGGCGACGAUCCCUACCUGGUCUGAGAGGGUGACCGGCCACACUGGAACUGAGACACGGUCCAGACUCCUACGGGAGGCAGCAGUGGGGAAUAUUGCGCAAUGGGCGCAAGCCUGAUGCAGCCAUGCCGCGUGUAUGAAGAAGGCCUUCGGGUUGUAAAGUACUUUCAGCGAGGAGGCGGUACUCGAAGAAGAAGCACCGGCUAACUCCGUGCCAGCAGCCGCGGUAAUUC
rnacentral:rRNA from 1 species